CUUUUCGUUCAUCGAAUUUGUUCGUUCGUUUAACCUAAGGAGAAUAGUACACGUCGUCGUGCAAUUUUUAUUACAUCAAUUUGUGUGAAAACGUUACAGUUUCGCUGAACUUAAAAACCCAAAUUGUGCAUCGUGUUUGACGAGCAGCUUUAUCAAAAAACCUUCUGUUUUACGCAAAAAUAUUUACGAAUAUUAAUCUUCCACUUUUGAGAAAAAUGACAGACUCAAUGAAGUUUGGCCCAGAAUGGCUGCGUAAUAUGGCAGAUAACACAAACUUGUUAUCUAGUGGCGGUACAUCGUUGUCCAACAGCGGUAACGUUGUGACCACGUCAUCCAAUUCAAAUAAUGGUGGAAGUAGUGGCGGUCACCAUUCUUUUGGCAUUAUUUCAAAUGUGACUACGCCAGCGAUCACCCAAUUUUCUUAUGCUCUAGCUCCAAGGAAUACAUUUCCAGAAUUUCGCUAUGGUCGUGAAGAAAUGCUGUCGUUGUUUGAUAAAAACUAUAACAUGCCUGAAAUAUUACCAGCAUUUAAGACGAUAUUUGUUGAGAAAGUGCAGUUGCCUCUUGCGCUUACACCAAGCACAGACGAAGAGCUGUUACCACAAGCGCCACCGAUUCCAACACAGCGGCCUUCGUGGAUGCAACGAUCGCCAGUGGGGUUUAGCUCUUCUGCCAGAGGUACGGGAAGAGGGGGUUCUGUAGAUCGAGGUCGAAUGCGUGGUAAAUCGAAUUAUCAUCAAAUGUACCAACGGCCAACCGCUUUGUUUGGGGAGGACGAUUUACGUUCAGUUCCAAUAAAGGCUGACCGUGGCUGGCCGGAACGGAAUGGAGCCGCAGAUUUAUUAAAUACUAGUGGUGCUAACAUUGGUGGAAUUGGUUUAAGCUCAGACUGGAACGGAACUCCUACAUCAAGUCCCCGAAAAGAGUUCUCUAAUCACCCCCGCAAUAUGGAAAAUUGGCGUAGGAAUCGCAGCGACGACGUUUCAAGUGAUGCAUCGACAAGUGGCCUUGGCAAUGCUGAGGGUUGGCGUGGUAGUAGCACCACUAGUGGUAGUUUCACAGGAUCACAUCGAUGGGGACGUUCCACAAGCUGGCGAGACGAGGAUGUAUCAUCGGCUAGUCCAGCUGAUGUUGGAUAUUGCAGUAUCGGUGGGAGUGGCAUGACGAUGCAACGUUCGUAUUCAAACAUAACAACUGUGAACGAACGAGGGGGUUAUAUUGGAAGUAGUGGUGGUAGCUGUUCAAGCAAAACACCUCAGAAUAAUACUUACGGUGGUAUUACUAACCAGACUUCUAGUCGAUCUUUCAACUCUCCUUCUGGUUUGAAUACAUCAUCAACGCGCACCGCUCAGUGGAAUAUUAAUAGUGGCGGUAUAGAUAGCUCGACUAGUGGUCGAGAUGGUGAAGAUAAUUUGCCGGAGUGGGCAAUGGAAAAUCCUGCGGAUGGCGGUGGAACUUUUGAUGCCAGCGGUGCUUUCCAUGGCUCCGUGGAUGAAGAUGAAAGCGAGGGCAGUGCCAAAGAAUGUCGAAAAAAGAGCGAUUCCAGCUGUGAAAGUUCUGCUCGCAACAACGAAGGCAGUUGCAUCAGAGAUAGAAAAUCUUCUGAAACCUCAACCUCAAGGACAACGACGUCCUUGGAAAAUGACCAUAACAAAAGCAUUGCAUGUGACUUAUCCGAGAAAUCGGCUGCGUAUACGCCUGAAGAAAUUUCUUUAGAUUUAAAUAAAAAGACUCCCGAAGCAUUAUCAGGCUCUAAAUUAAUUACUGACCUAAACUCCGUUAUUUCAGAUGUCAUAAUUGCUGAAGAACUCGAGGCUAAGAAUUUAACUGUAACGCACCCACAAAACGAAAGGAAACCAAAAACCAGUAGUGCAGAUGUCGAACUAAAAACAGAAGUAGCAUCUUCAGAUGUUUAUUACUACAAUACGGGUAGUAAUUCAGUACCGAAAUCUAGUACUGUUACAACUGAUAGCAACAUCAGUGUUCAUCGUGACCUGUCCGAUCGUAUGCGAGAGGUUACAGAUGAUAUGAUUGAGAAGUUGAUUAUGGACGAUGACACUAUUGGUAUUAAUGAUGAUAAUGGCCGAAGUGACAUAAAACCAGAAGGAUUGGCUCCAUCUGCACAAGUAACAAUAACACCAACGACCGAAGGCAAUAACUUAGGUGCUGCGCAUGUUUUUACAACUGUCACUGCCAUGCUUAAGCAAGCUCCGCAUCAGGCUCUUCAAGGUCCAUCUUCUGUUUCACCAACUUUGGCGUCUACCCUUACGGAUUGCGUUAUACACAAGGGAAUACAGCUUUAUGGUGGUGGUGUAGUUGUCGAUCAUGCUACAAUGCAGCGCCAUCAUUUGCAACAGCAACAGCUUACAGCUGUAGCUACAGCAAAUCUUACAUCAGUUGGUGGUUUACAACACGGUAUCAAUUCACCUACAUCAGCGGCAGUACCGGCGGAUCUUUGGUACUACAGGGAUCCACAAUCUAAGGUUCAAGGCCCUUUCACAGCGAUUGAAAUGACUGAAUGGUAUCGAGCAGGAUAUUUCAAUGAAAAUUUAUACGUGCGCCGCUUAUGUGAUACACAUUUCCAUUCGCUGGGUGAUCUGAUAAAACUCUGCAACGAUAAUAUGCCUUUCACACACAGCCACUUGAUACCAAAUUUAGAUAAUAUGCAUUUAUCUAAUUCGGCGGCGCUAUCUGUUAGACAACAACAAAAGCCGCAAAUAAUUGGUGAUUAUGCGCUAAAGCAAAAAACGCUUGAACAAAAUGAAUCACGCGAUCAACUUAAGGGCAACUUGAUCUCUGGAACAGAUUAUCUCGGUGGCAGUGUCAAAAACCUAAUGAUACCAGUGGAUGUUUCUAAUAUGUACUUCCAGAUGUUACGCCAUCAAGAGAUGUUAGUAUAUAGGGAACUUUCGGAUAACGAAUGCUUUCAACAAUUAGCACCAUCCGAGAAAGAGACUGUUGUGCGUCAGAAGUUACAAAUACACUCCGAGUAUUUAUCUAGUCUGUCAGGCCUAAGUAAUACCUUGCCUUCUAUAAAUCCGACGUCGGCAACACACCAAUUGUAUGAUGUUAUGAUGGAUGGUUCUAAAAAGCUUUUCGGUAAUACUACCAGCACGGGGGGGCCAAGUACUUCUCAACUGCCGCAACCAAACUCAUUUUUGGACACCGAUGAAUUCCUACGAAACUCACAACAUGUUCAACAGCCAGUUCAAACCGCAUUUAGCGCGAGUCCUUUUGUAAACGUAUUGCCACCUAAUGGAGAGAAUACUGGCACUAGUAAAUUAAGACGUGUAAAUGAUGAUCAAACAGAAAACGAAUUGCUAAAUAACUUUCAUAUGCGGAUGUUUUUACCCCCAGCUAGCAGUAACUCGCCUCUGAUCCCCAACCCAAAGCCUAGAGAUUUUAUGGGACAUCCAAACACUGAUUUUCUUAGUGAUACACAAUUAUUAUCGACUAAAAGCUUGCAAGGUCAAAACAAUUGCCUUGUGCAAUCAUGGUUAUCUCCGGUACCUAAUCGAGAAUCAAUUGCUUCCCAACAGUCAUCCAAUGAAUGGGCAAAUAACAUGCUGGUUGGAAUUCCAAUUACAGUUGAAGGAGGUAACAGCACUCCAAGAAAUGUAAAUAACUUGACGCAAGAAAUACAGCCACAGAAAGCAAUUCCAACGUCAAUGUGGGAUUUACCGACGUUAGAAAAUGCACAAAGCGAGCAAAUAAAGCAAAAUGAAUCCAACAAAGCAAAUUUUGAAAACUCGAAAUCGUUAAGUAUACAAUCCAUCUCCCCAGAGGAGGAGCAAAUAAGUUUAAGGGACCGACAAUGCCUUAAACUUCAGACGUCAGAUAAUGUUGCUGUUGAAGAACAAGGCGGUGCUACCGCUCAAAUCCAGCAGCGAGAUUCAUCUAUAGCAGUACUGCCUACAACUUCAGGUUCGACCAAACAACGCAAAGAUGAAACUAGUGACAAGUAUCAAAAUGGAAAUACUAAACGCAUGAUUAAGCAGAAUCUCGCAGCGAAUAAGAAAGAAAAAGGAUCUGACGAGAGUUUUGGUAGCAAAAAAAAUGAAGAGGAAAGGCGUCGAGAUCAAGCAGAAGAUAAACGUCGUCUAAAAGAAGAGAGAAAACGCCAGCAGGCAGAUGAAGAAAAGCGGCGUCAGCAACAGAUUGAUGAAGAAAAACGUCGCCAAAUGCUUGAAGAGAAAGAGCGUCAGCAACAAAUUCAAGCUUUGCGUCGAAAGGCAAUGAUGGGAAAUAAUUCCAAUGCAAAUAACUCUUCGAGUGGUUUAGUUAGCACAGUGGUUUCAAGCUCUAAACCUUCUAAAGAGCAACGGGUGCCAUCUUCAAUAGCCCCAUGGUCGACUCAUACUAACGCAACUGCAGCAAACGGGAGCCCAUGUCUAGCAGAAAUUCAGAAAGCCGAAAGACGAGAACGUCAAAUGGAACAGCGGCAAAUGGAGAUGUUUGUAAAGCGAGUGCGUGCCAGUGCUGCUGCUGCCGUGGAAGCAUUCGAUUCUAUGUUAAAAUGGAACGCACCUACAAAAGAUGUGCCAGUUAAAAGCUUUGCUGAAAUACAGGCCGAGGAAGCUAAGCGAUUAUCUAAUGAGCAAAUGGAGAUGCAACGUCGAAAAGACCAGGAACAGCAGCAAGCAGCUACUGCAAUGUGUGCAAAUAGCAAUACUGGAUUUGGGCCCAACAACAUUUCUGCCAUAUGGAGCGGCACAAAAGUUUGGGGACCGACAAGUACCGCAAGUUUUUGGGAGGAACCAAUUAAAUUUAGUGCCGCCGUUGCUGCUAAUAACAAUUCAGGCAUCUCAGCAGUUGCUGAAACUGGCUUUAGCUCUGGUAAUAUUAACAUCAACAACAAACUGAUACCCACCUUACAACAAAAAUCACCAACAUCAAAUGCCGUAAUAACUGCAAAUGAUGAACAAAAUAUAAACGUACAACAGAAUACUGGAACACGCAACUUGCGUAAAAGCCAAACUGUGUCUGUAAUGCAAAAUACUGGAACACAUAGUGGCAAAAGUUCUAAGAUCAAUAAUUAUUGCAUUACUGCGAAACCAGGUCCCUGUAAUAAGGUCCAACCACAAAAAGCUGGAGUUAAUAAUCCCGACGGAGUAUCCGGGACAGAGAAAAGGGGCGCUUCGAAGACUCAACUUAGCAUUGCCCUCGGUACUGGCAUUACAUAUAAUAGUAAACGAGAUGAUUACGAAAAUGAUUUUAUUGCUUGGUGUACGAAAAUUCUUAACAGUAUGAAUACAAAACUUGAUGUGCCUACAUUUGUAACAUUUUUACGAGACUUGGAGUCACCUUAUGAGGUUAAGGACUACAUUCGGAUGUAUUUGGGUGAAAACAAGGAAUCUGUAGACUUUGGUAAGCAGUUUCUCGAGCGCCGUAGCAAAUACAAAAAUUUGCAACGGGCACAAAACGCUCACAAUGAUGACAUGUGUAAACCGGCACCCGCUAUAACACCUUCAGGCAAUGAUAAUUCCGACAAUAAGGGAAAACAAAAGAAAGUGAAGAAAAAUAAAAUGACGAAGCUAGACGCGCGCAUAUUAGGUUUCUCCGUUACUGCUGCUGAAGGUCGUACGAAUGUGGGUGAUCGGGUUUACGUGGAUGCACCAUAAAUAUUAUAACCGAAUAUCAAAUUUUAUACCAGUUCAUCUCAAUUCACACGCAGAACUGAACAACAAGCUGAGAGACAGGCACACACGCGAAAUUUGUGGUUUUCGCAUUUACCUAGAGCGCCAUAUAGUAGGACAGGGUAUGCUGAUAUACUUAUAAAAUGUUAGUUUUGUUCCGCGAGAGAUGAAUUAACUAUGAAAUUAUCAUUGGAUUUCCAUGCUGACAUGCUGGGACUUCCUAAAUAAACGAAGUCUCUUGCUACUUCAAAAUCAUAGCUGACACACGCUCUCUUAAACCCACUCAUCUAACACCCUUCUCCCUUUGGACCCAACCUGUCGAAACACCACGCUUCCUGGGCCUACCGUGCUGCACUGGCUGGCAGGGCCUUAUGAACUAGUACCACAAAAACAACAACAACGAGAUGUGAUGGCCAUAACUUUUAAACUAUUUGACUAAUACAGUAUAAACAAUAGCAAACCGGAUUGUAUGGGUUUAUAAUAUUUAUUAUACGAAAUAUUGAUCCGUGAAUAUUACAUUUGCCCAAUUCUGUUCUAAAUUUUCCAAGUGCUCCGGAAUUUGAUAUCUUCUUGACGUAAACGACCUCGAAUGUUGUCUUUGGAUACAUUAAAACUGCUUUAGUUUCACGCAACGAUUAUGAGUAGGAAUAAAUUAUCUUCUCAUCUUACUUUGGACAGGCAUUUUUUGGGUUUCGUCUGGUGAAGUCGUAAACAUUUUCAACUUCGGUAUACGCCUGCACACAUUUAUUUAUAGUUUAAAUAUAUUGCCACACAUCGACGUGCCAUUUUUGGUCCCUUAGAAUAUGUACAUAGGAACACUGCUUCAAAUUGUUUUGCAUACGCUGAACUCUUUUUGUAAAAACAGCACACGCUUUCUUAAUUACUCGUAAAGCUAACAAAAUUUGUACGCGUAUUGCAAGAAGAAUGCGCCUAUUUAACAGCAUUUAUAUAGCGGCAUAUAUACUAACAACCAAUAAUUACAUGAUUCAAAAAGCAGUGUAUUAAGUACGAAAUAGAGGCACUAACACUAGUUUUUCUGUAUUCAUUGAAAAUUACAUAAUGGGUUUUUAAUAAGAGGUGUUAUUUCGAUAUUCAAAGAAAAAUGAAUUUUCUUAAUAUAAAUGAUCGGAUGUUUAUUUCAUUAUAAAGAGGAAGGUAUGCCGUUAAUAGUGGAAAAUAACUCAGGCGAAUGACCACCACGACCACGCCUACAGGACAAUAUCCUCUUCAUGAAAAUUUCCAUAACCUAAUUGCAAAGUGCCCUAUGUCCUCGAUAGCCUCACGUAUUCCAUCUUUGAGGUCUUGAAUCGACCCUGGGCUGUUGGCGUAGACCUUCUCUUUCACGUCGCCCCAAAGAAAAAAGUCACAAGGUGUUAAAUCACAAGAUCUCGGUGGCCAAUUGUGAUCACCUCUUAGAGAGUUAACACUGUCCGGAAACUUUUUCCGUUAAAUAUCAAUGGUUUCGUUGCUUGUGCGGCAAAUAGCGCCGUCUUGUUGAAAAUAAACGUUGUCCAGAUCAAUACCAUCCAAUUCCGGCCAUAAAAAAUCGUUAAUCAUCUCUCGAUAGCGCAAUCCAUUCACUAGUAUCGCCUCUUAUUGGAAAACCCUUUACAUACCAAAGGAAUAAAUGGUCAUAAAGAAAUUGAAAGUCCACUUUUCUCUUACAAAACGUAUUUGCGCAUACAAUAAGUCAUCUUUUUAAUCAUAAUAUUAUAUAAACCAUUUAUUACAAAGUAUAUAAAACCUCGAAGGUAGAUAGGGUUAACGUUGCACCUCAUAAAUGUCGCCCAUCUCAAUAAGUAACUGUGGGCUUACUGUGCUACUGGGGAUUAUGGGGCUCAUUCCCCAAUACUAGGGAGAUUCAAUUAUGGACUAGACAAGUAUAAGCAGUCGGGGGUUUGUAAACUGCAUCUCAACUGACCGAUCUAGUGGAGCUACAUCUUCAGGAUCGCCAGGUAUUAACUCCUGAAUGGAGAGCAACAAGACUGACGUAUGGCAAAGAUUCUAAAGUACCCGAUAAAUUUAGAUCGGGGCCGACAGAAACUACGAGCUGUAAAGUGAGAGACUCGCAGAAAGAACGUGCAGGAUAACUGCAUCCAAGGAAGCUGUCCCAAAAGCCAAGAACGAGUACUAUACAGACUUCUGAGCAAACUUCUAGCUUUGGUCAGAAAAAUUAUUUAUCUGUAAGAUAUUUAUCUCAAAGAAGGCUUAAGGAUGCGAAGCAGAAUUCUGCAAUAAAUCCUGCAUACAUAUAAGAGUUCGCACCUCUUGGUUUGUAUUUAUUUUUUGGUUAAAUAAUGGGGAAAAGGAAGAUUGGUGCUUUAAAACUGUUUUAUUAUUUUCCAAAAUAUUCUGUAUGAUCAUCAAUAAACUUUUGCAUCCAUUUGAUCCAAUUAUUGAAGCUCUUUGUGCAGUCGCGUUUCCAGGGAGUUUUCGAAUGCGUACGUUGUGGGAUCCAACGCGAAGAUACAUUUUUUACCACAAAAUCAUGCAAAAUCUUAUAGAUGCUCGUCAUACUAAUGCUCAAGCAUGCAGAUUUCGGACAAACGACCACGACAUUUGAUUGAUGUGAUAUGUGUUUUACUAUACUCCGUUUCAUUGGUAAUUCAAUUUAAAGCUUCAUAGCUUCGCGACACGAAUCCUUUUGCGCAGUUUUUAAACUUUCGACGUUUAUUUUCUCUAUUUUGAUACCUACUGUUCUCUUCUGUGUGCACUGAAUCUAGGGUUACGACCGCCCUCACGACGAAAUUCAUGGAGCGAAAUUACAACCGAGCCCGAAUUUCGAUAAUAUUUGAUCAUUUCCACACGUUAUCCAGGCUUCAAACGAUGCAUGUAGAAGUACUCAGCUCAAUUGAAUAUUUUGAUACUUGGAUGUCAUUGCAUCUUGCACAACGCGAUAACUACUCGCAGAAGACUUUUGAAAUACCAACACUGUAUGAUCAUUGAAAGAUUCGAUUGGGAGUCGUUAUACAGAUAGAGAUAGGAGGGGUAUACAAUAAGAGUGGUUACAAGUAAAUAAGCUAAUGAAAUUAAAAUAAAAUGUUUAAUGUGAUUUAACAGCCACACUUCGUAUAUAUCUAUGAAACUUUUUUCUCAAAUUUAGUACAUAUGUGCCAUGCAUUUGACUGGAUCAAGCAAUUCAUUGAUGAGAACAAAACAGGGAAAACAAAAGAAAGUGAAGAAAAAUAAAAUGACGAAGCUAGACGCGCGCAUAUUAGGUUUCUCCGUUACUGCUGCUGAAGGUCGUACGAAUGUGGGUGAUCGGGUUUACGUGGAUGCACCAUAAAUAUUAUAACCGAAUAUCAAAUUUUAUCACCAGUUCAUCUCAAUUCACACGCAGAACUGAACAACAAGCUGAGAGACAGGCACACACGCGAAAUUUGUGUAAGAACAUGAAACGGAUGACAUAUUUAUUUUGUUUCAGUAAUCAAUACUUUGCAUUAUUAUUGAGCUUUUGCUGGUAAAUAAGUUAAUUUACCUAUACAAUUUUGUUAAAUGAAUAUUUUUUGGUCUUAUAAAAUAAAACUCAUUUUCCCUAUA